CGCUGGCGGCGUGCCUAAUACAUGCAAGUCGAACGCACAGCGAAAGGUGCUUGCACCUUUCAAGUGAGUGGCGAACGGGUGAGUAACACGUGGACAACCUGCCUCAAGGCUGGGGAUAACAUUUGGAAACAGAUGCUAAUACCGAAUAAAACUUAGUGUCGCAUGACACAAAGUUAAAAGGCGCUUCGGCGUCACCUAGAGAUGGAUCCGCGGUGCAUUAGUUAGUUGGUGGGGUAAAGGCCUACCAAGACAAUGAUGCAUAGCCGAGUUGAGAGACUGAUCGGCCACAUUGGGACUGAGACACGGCCCAAACUCCUACGGGAGGCUGCAGUAGGGAAUCUUCCACAAUGGGCGAAAGCCUGAUGGAGCAACGCCGCGUGUGUGAUGAAGGCUUUCGGGUCGUAAAGCACUGUUGUAUGGGAAGAACAGCUAGAAUAGGAAAUGAUUUUAGUUUGACGGUACCAUACCAGAAAGGGACGGCUAAAUACGUGCCAGCAGCCGCGGUAAUACGUAUGUCCCGAGCGUUAUCCGGAUUUAUUGGGCGUAAAGCGAGCGCAGACGGUUUAUUAAGUCUGAUGUGAAAGCCCGGAGCUCAACUCCGGAAUGGCAUUGGAAACUGGUUAACUUGAGUGCAGUAGAGGUAAGUGGAACUCCAUGUGUAGCGGUGGAAUGCGUAGAUAUAUGGAAGAACACCAGUGGCGAAGGCGGCUUACUGGACUGCAACUGACGUUGAGGCUCGAAAGUGUGGGUAGCAAACAGGAUUAGAUACCCUGGUAGUCCACACCGUAAACGAUGAACACUAGGUGUUAGGAGGUUUCCGCCUCUUAGUGCCGAAGCUAACGCAUUAAGUGUUCCGCCUGGGGAGUACGACCGCAAGGUUGAAACUCAAAGGAAUUGACGGGGACCCGCACAAGCGGUGGAGCAUGUGGUUUAAUUCGAAGCAACGCGAAGAACCUUACCAGGUCUUGACAUCCUUUGAAGCUUUUAGAGAUAGAAGUGUUCUCUUCGGAGACAAAGUGACAGGUGGUGCAUGGUCGUCGUCAGCUCGUGUCGUGAGAUGUUGGGUUAAGUCCCGCAACGAGCGCAACCCUUAUUGUUAGUUGCCAGCAUUCAGAUGGGCACUCUAGCGAGACUGCCGGUGACAAACCGGAGGAAGGCGGGGACGACGUCAGAUCAUCAUGCCCCUUAUGACCUGGGCUACACACGUGCUACAAUGGCGUAUACAACGAGUUGCCAACCCGCGAGGGUGAGCUAAUCUCUUAAAGUACGUCUCAGUUCGGAUUGUAGUCUGCAACUCGACUACAUGAAGUCGGAAUCGCUAGUAAUCGCGGAUCAGCACGCCGCGGUGAAUACGUUCCCGGGUCUUGUACACACCGCCCGUCACACCAUGGGAGUUUGUAAUGCCCAAAGCCGGUGGCCUAACCUUUUAGGAAGGAGCCGUCUAAGGCAGGACAGAUG
rnacentral:rRNA from 1 species